rnacentral:snRNA from 1 species
CCACGUCCCUUGUAGAGGAAAUACCAUGUUGUAAAAAUGGUUUUCCCAUGGGUAGGCUCAUCCAUUGCACUUUGGGCGUGCUGUUGACACCUGUGAUUUCCCCAAAUGUGGGGAACUCAACUACAUAAUUUGUGUUAAUUGGGGCAUUAUGUUUGUGAUUUCUCUCU